CCGAAGAACUUGAGAGAUCGAGUGUGCCUUCGGGAACUCUGAGACAGGUGCUGCAUGGCUGUCGUCAGCUCGUGUUGUGAAAUGUUGGGUUAAGUCCCGCAACGAGCGCAACCCUUAUCCUUGUUUGCCAGCACUUCGGGUGGGAACUCCAGGGAGACUGCCGGUGAUAAACCGGAGGAAGGUGGGGACGACGUCAAGUCAUCAUGGCCCUUACGAGUAGGGCUACACACGUGCUACAAUGGCAUAUACAGAGGGCAGCAAGACCGCGAGGUGGAGCGAAUCCCAGAAAGUAUGUCGUAGUCCGGAUCGGAGUCUGCAACUCGACUCCGUGAAGUCGGAAUCGCUAGUAAUCGUGGAUCAGAAUGCCACGGUGAAUACGUUCCCGGGUCUUGUACACACCG
rnacentral:rRNA from 1 species